rnacentral:sRNA from 1 species
UUCUGCCUCUGUCGUCUCUCUCGCUGGCUUUUUUUUUUUUUUUUUUAAUGAAGAACCGUUCCAUGAACAUUUUGCACAGAGCACAGAAUUGCUUCUAAAGUCAGUCCGGCGCGGUUGCAAUAGACAGCAAAAAGGUAAACGUUUGCCUGAAAUCCGCACGCCAGCUCCACCACCCCGCCCGAUGGUUCUGUAACAAUCAAGAAUGUGUGGACACCUACCUGUGGGAGGAGGCUUUCAGGGACAUUGUGUCUGGUUCCUGCUGACGCCAGCAUUCUGGAGAUGGACAGCUGUUCAAGGGAAUGAAGAUUCCCCCACAGGACAAGGACUAUUGCCUCCCUGAGUAUCCUAAAAGGUCUCUUGAAACAAACCAAACACUCAGAACUUCUGUGACUGUCAUGGACAGUGUCCUGUUACUGGCUUUAAACAGAGCCCCUCAUGCAGAAGAAGCCCUGUAUCCUGGAGUUAGAUGUCAAUCAUCCUGGGAAGGCUCGUCCAAGAACGCAUGCUUAGAAGAAAACUGUUUUAGGCAUCAUCAUCUAUCACGUGGAUGUCUCUGCCCAGUCCUCCCUUUCCACAAUCACCAACAAUGAAGCCCCAACGCGGGGAGUCCCCGAGUAGCCCCCAAUGCACACACCUGCUGCACGACGUGGGAGGAGCUUUUCUGUGGGAGCCGAGGCCACACACAGGACCCUGGGGAAGAACUCCCAAAGAGACUUACUUUUACGGAAGCCUGUGAUCCUUUAAGAAUGACCAACAGUGCAAAUCAAGUCAAAAGACUUAGAUGCUCUCUCCACUACUCCAUCUCCAGCACCUAGAACAGGUAGAGUAUGUAACUGAUGACUGACUGAAUGGCCCUGGGGAGAGAUUCACAAGAUCACUAUGGGGGGGGAGGUGGGCAGAAGGGAAUGUAAGGAUAGGGAGGUGUGUGCCAAGGUGUUGCUGGCAAUGUUGUGUGCAAAAGAAGAUAAGAUCUCUUGUUGACUGUUGUAAAAAGAAGAUGAACGAAGUGUUGUGUUCAAAUGAGUCCAGUUGAGUGUACCACAGACAAUGAUUGACUUCUUCCCAGUCCCUCACGGGGUAGUAUAGUUUGAGAGGUUUACAUUAAGCUUAUCCCCUCAGAGGCCCUCAGAGGAGGCAAUGAAUAGAUUUGCAAGGAAAAACAACAACAACAACAACAACAACAACAACAACAACAAUAAUAACAACAGGGACCCCACAUGCAAUUCAGGGGAAGUACUUUGAAGCAUUUCAAGGAAGACUCUGAGAAAUGAUAAUAAAGUUUAACGGGAAGGAAUAUUAACUGAUAUGAUUUUCUUCCAAGAAGCAAUUUUGGAUAUAAUAUUUCAAGCUCUAAGUUACAAACUCAGUGACUAGACCUUGAAUGCUUUUAUUUGUGUCUUGGGGUUUCUGUUCCUUCAAUUGAAAAAGAAAAUUAUUAAGAUGAUUUUUUUUCCAGAAAGAUUAAUGGGUAUAGCAUUGGCUGACCAGUUUCCAUAAAACUAUAGUAGCAUAGAAUCACCUAGAUUAAGAACUAGGUUUAAAUCCUGGGACGGCUUAGUAAUACCAGUGCUCAAUUAAAAAUUCCGUAGCAUUGAUUUGAUGAAGAAAAACGUCAUGGUAUGACUGCAACUUUCCCUUCCAGUUGUUAUUGGACACGUUAAUGGAGGGAUGUCCUACAUAGGCUUUGGCAGUCAGAAGGCCAGUUCUCAAAUUAAAAUGAAGUUUCAAAUCCGAGCAUAGGGACAAAAUAAUUUACUUGAAGGGUAACAAAGGAGGUUCUUGCCUAAAAAUAAAUGUGAUAGAUUUGGCUUCAAUGUUAGGUGGCACUUCUUUAUAAUUUUUGUAAACCUGAAAUCUUUCAUAAUUCACACAGAUAGAAAUGCUAGCCACUUGAAGGUGAAAAAUGGUACUGUAUUUUAUUUUACAUUCUCAAUGUCUAGCACCUGUUUCUUGGUAUGUAAACAAUCUAUUUAACUGUUUUUGAAAGAGCAGACUAAAAAUAUUUUGUCAAUGUGUGUGUGUGUGUGUGUGUGUGUGUGUGUGUGUGUGUGUGUGUGGUGUAUGCAUGUGUGGUAUAUGUGUACAUAUGUGGGCAGAUGCAGAGGCCACAGGAGGACAUUGGGUGUCAUGUUCUAUCUUUUGAGACAGGACUUCUCAUUGAAUGUGGGGCUAGGCUGACAGUCAUCAAGCCCCAUUCAUUCUCUCUCUCUCUCUCUCUCUCUCUCUCUCUCUCUCUCUCUCUCUCUCUCUCUCGUGCUGAUACACACUGAACUCCUAAUCCAAAUCCAAGUUGUUAAUUUUUGACAGAGUCGCAGAAUGUGAUGUCUUGCUGUGCACACCCUUCCGAUAACGAGCCCAGCAUAAAAAGAAAGCAUGACCCUAGACGUGGAGUGAAUGGAGUGUGCAGGUUCCGACGAGUUCACUGCGGCUCCAGUGGGGAUCGGGCAGGCUCCAAGCACUAAAUAACCCUAAUGAUAUCAGGACUGGUCCUGCUUGCUCCAUCUACACACUGUUGGUUAACAGUGGACCCUCUGACUCUCAUGAGGAUGACUGGACAUGUGACAGAAGACCAGGAGUCCGGGAGGCUGCCCUUUCCUGCUUUAACUUUGUUCUGUCAGAAUUGAUAAGAUUUCGAUUUCCAGUUAAAACCCGCCAUCGGGUGUUCAGCAGGACAGUGAAAGAACGCCCGGCACACUGAACCAACAGUCAGAGGUUGAACCUACCAGCAAAGCUGGCUCUGAUGGACAAACGCUUCCUAGGGCUCCUUCCUGAUGCAGCUGCUAUCUGCAGACCUCCUGGACUGCCCUGGGAAGGGAGUGGGAGCUCCUGCCACAGAUGGGCGGAACAUCGGCAAGAAGGGUUAAAAGUGGCCAAAAAUAACAGUGCCUUCCAGAUGAGGUGACCUCAGAGCCAAGAGCAUCAUGGGCUAGUGGCCUGCCAAUCACAGGACAUCAGCAUGCGCAGAGCCCAGCAUCUUCUCCAGGUUCAGCUUUUACAUCUUCCUUUGGAGGGCCUACUCCGAUCUCAGGACCGCAGGUGAGGUGCUAUCUUUGGUAAGCAUUUUCUCCGUCUAGUCACCACUAAAAGCACUUUUCAUCUGGACCUUUAGUCUCUGAAUACCAACCAGGGUGGAAGUCACCUUUAAUCCUCACAGAGGUUGAGUUUCUUUCCUCUUAGUACAAAGCCACAUAUAUCCACUGUGGAGAAUUUAGAACACACAGAAAAGCAAAAUUAUAUUUGUGUGCACCAUGACUACCCUUUGAUGUGGGCCCUGCUCGAUAUGAUGAUUUUUAUAGACAAAACCCAGCCACACUUAGAUGGGAAAUACUUUCUUCUGAGCUGCUUGCUGGCUGGUAGAACCAGUUCCAUGGAAUGUCAGUGCCAGGCCCCAGCUGAUUGGCAUAGGGCUGGCUAUCGCCCUGGUUGGGCAUGUAUCUGCUCUUUCUUUCAGAUUCAAUCAGAUAGUGUCUGAGACUGGACCUAUAAUAUCUCACUGAGGUAGGAUUAGUCACUGUGCCUGGAAACUUAGCGCUUUGCUGGGGAAGGUGGUUUGUAGGAGAGAAUAGGGGAGACUGUGAGACACUGAGGGAAAGUCAGAGUUAAAGGAAGCAGAACACCACACACCUGGUCCCAGUGUUCUCCGUGACUUUUCUCAGGUGGCCUUGCCUCCGGAUCUUGACUCUGUCCUUGAGCAGUGUCUCUGAGAUGCCGGUACCUGCAUCUAACCAUGCCUGCCCAAGAGGAUUGCUUUUUGUAAACUCCCUUUGCAAUGAAUAAUAGACUUUCUCUGUGUAUCAUCUGAUCAUCCAGAUUAUAAUUUUCAAUAUGGUAGGUCAAGUGCUGUGGGGGGAGGGGCACUGCAGCUAAUGUGAGCAGCUUGAGCUCUGGUUUGGAAUAACACUGAGUUCACAGGCCCUUCCUCAUCUCCUUUGCUGUGUGAUUCAGUCAGCCGAUGAACACUAUUUAUCUCAGUAUUUUCAUCUGUAAAAUGGAAAAUCUCAAGAAAUCUUAGAGUUCCUAGACUUAAACUUGCAGUAUAGCAGAGGGUGACCUUACAUUCCUGACUCUCUUGCCCUCAUGUCCACGACGUGCUGGGUGAUCUGACCUGGUGCUGUUGUUAACAAUCACAAACGGUUCUCUGUCAACAGUCUUCCUAGUUUUAAAACACGACAGUAAGAAUUCUUUCAGAGCUGAGCCUUUAGGCAUUGGUACUCCUUGGGCUGAGUGACCCCCACCCUGAAACACUGGACCAGAGAUCAUGAGCAUGAAAAAUGCCUAAGUGUGGUUCCCGCAUCACUGCUGCCUGUGGAGUGUCUGCUACCCAAGUCUCUGCCAUCCUUAUCCCUGCCCUUUCUGUGGCUUUGGAGAAAGUGCAUUUCCUUCCAUGUCUGCGGUGUGAUCUAUACUCAACUUCCAACGAAACAAAGACUGUCACAUCUGACCUCCGGAGCUCUUUCAGUUCCUCUUUUCCAGAUUCUAAUUAACUUAAAGGAGUGGAGACUAAAGAAAAAAUUCAAUGUGGUCUUAAGGAAAGCUAAGACACAAACUUGUAUUUGAGCACUGCUUCUAUGUACACAGACCAUGAUUUUGUGAGUUACUUGAAUUUUUUGAGGUUCCUUUUAAUCCUCUACUAUUGAAUGAAUAGUGAACUCCAAGCAUUACACUGUACCUGAUGCUCCUGGUUGCACACUAAGGGCUGAAUAGAAGAAGAAUUCUAUUGGCAAUGGAGAGAAGCUGGAAGGGCUUGCACUAAGGAAGAAUUCACAGCUCUCACUAGCAAGAAGUCCAGGAUGAAAAACUUAGAAAUUAUCCCUGUUCUACCUAAAAAGCAGACAUGAGAAUGCUCAAAGCAUCAGCACUAUAGCAGAACUCACCAUAGGAGUUUCUGCUGCCGGAAACAUAUCUAUGUUAUCUGACCUAGACAGACUGAUCUUGUCGUGAGAGAGUGAGGAGAACUAGCAGAUGAAAUGACCAAAGUAUCCCACUCAUCCCCAGAGAACUGUGACUUCAGGAAAUGACUGGAAACCAAAGGUAUGCAAAUACUGCUUUACUUACACAUGUUUCAAAGGUAAAUGUUGGAAACAGAUGAGACACCUGAUAGCCCACUUAAUUAGAUUGGGAACUUAUUGAGGCAGAAUUUAAGAGCUGUUUACAAUGGGAUCUUUUUGACAUUGUGUAGUGGAAGAGGAUUGAGCUAUAGGACAUGGGUUGAGAAGGAAACAGUGGGUAGGGUAGGAAUAGAAACAUUUAGUUUGUUCAUGGUUCAUAAGGGUGUCUUGUCUACUCACUUCUUGCUUUCUAGGGUGAGUGAGUAGCUAGGGAGAGAUGAUGUAUGCCAGGCUUUUAAAGCUGUAGGUGCUCAUGGACUCAAGGGCUCUUGUUAGACUUCUGAUUCAGUAUUUCUGGGCUGGGCCCUGCAUUUCUAAGAGGUUCUUUGAUGCUGUUCUUGUUCCUUGCAUCACACAUUGACUUCAGCCUAUGGGUUAAAAACUAGCAUUAUAAUUAGUUUCUGAAUCAGUAAAUGUGGUGGUUUGAAUGUGCUUGGCCCAGGGAGGAGUGACACUAUUGGGAGGUGUGGCCUUGUUGGAGUAGCUGUGGCCUUGUUGGAGGAAGGGUAUCACUGAGGGGGUGGGUUUUAAGGCCCUCCUCUUAGCUGACUCAGUCUCCAGACUGAGCACAUUUCUCCAUCUCUAGUUGCCUCUGACGUCUGUGGGAAUUUUUCCUCUCUGGGUUGCACAAUCCCAUUGUGAAGUGCACCACUUUCUGUUUGUGCCUCGCUAUGGCAAUAAUUUCCUAUCCAUGUUUUGGAUUGUCCAGAGAAACAAAUUUAGACUACACAUGGACAUUGACUCCUGUUUGCAGGCCACUUCAUCCAUUUGGCCUGGGAAUGCAACACUCUAUGAAGCUUGUCUCAUCUGAGCCUUUCUUUGCUAGAGUAUUUUGUUUGUUUUGCUUUGUUUUCUAUAAUGAAUUUCUUGGAGGAGGAAAUACAACUGAUCUUUUGUUUAUUUAUCUUUUAAAAAGUUGGCCUUUUAAAAAGAUGAGGACUUCUACAGAAAAGUGUCCCAGAUGCUUGGACACGGUGGCACACUCUUCUAUUGCUAGUGCUCUGGAGGAGUACCACAGCAGUUCCUAGCACUUAGUAGGUACUGAAUCAAGGAACCCUGUCUCUAAACAAACAAAUAGCAAAGGAAAAGGUGAAUCAGAAGAAAAGCUAUAACUCAUACUGGCAAAUGAUUUAGAUAUCUGACAGAAGACAUAGAUGGAAGGACAAUGUACCACAGCCACCAAAACCAAGGAGGGUAAGGUUGGCUGAAGCACCCACAUGGGGUAUUGAUCUACUUCUGAGAAGGCUGUCAAGAAAAACAAACAGGAGGCUGCCACGGUGCCAAUUUGAGGGCAGAGGCUUCCUAGUCUCUCUAAUGCCAGGGAAAAACAAACUCUCCACCAUCCGUUAGUCGUUGGCACUUUAAAGUAUUCCAACUAAUCUAAUUUAUAGAAUGACGUCUUUGGUGUUGUGGUCAUUAAAAAUACAUGCGGCCUCUUUCUUUCUUUGGAUCCGUUCUCAGAUUGUUUCAGAUGAACAGCUAAGCACAGUCCUUUCCUCCUGGGACUUGAAAAGAUGGCGGAAAUGUUGUUAUGUGCAUAAACAGCACAGAAUGCAGUAAGGAAUAAGAAGAGAGAUUUGCAUGGUGGGUGUGGAACUACAUGUGAAGCUCAGAGAGAGCACAGGCAGGAAAGAGUAGGGAAGUAGUAGUUCUUGGAUAUACAACUCACAGGGAAGAACCACGGUAGACAGGAGGGCCAGGGCCAGGCAGGCAGGAGAGAGUAGUACAGUAGCCAGUAGCGUAAGUGGGAUGCAAGGGUUUGCGUUGAAGCCCAGGGCAGCUGUCGAAGCUCGAAGCCUGCUCUUCGAAGUCAAGGAAGAGAUAACAACUGAAGUACUGGGCGGUUCUAUAG